CUCAGGACGAACGCUGGCGGCGUGCCUAACACAUGCAAGUCGAGCGGGGACAUUGCGACGGAUUUGAAAUUUCGGAUGGAUAUGAAGAUGUAAUGUUCUAGCGGCGGACGGGUGAGUAACGCGUGAGCAACCUGCCCUUACAGGGGGAUAACACAGCGAAAGUUGUACUAAUACCGCAUAAGACCACAGAGUGACAUCGCUUAGGGGUCAAAGGAGUAAUCCGGUAAGGGGUGGGCUCGCGUCCGAUUAGAUAGUUGGUGAGGUAACGGCCCACCAAGUCGACGAUCGGUAGCCGACCUGAGAGGGUGAUCGGCCACAUUGGGACUGAGACACGGCCCAAACUCCUACGGGAGGCAGCAGUGGGGAAUAUUGGGCAAAGUGGGGGAAACCCUGACCCAGCAACGCCGCGUGAGGGAAGAAGGUUUUCGGAUCGUAAACCUCUGUCCUUGGUGAAGAGAAAGAGACGGUAGCCAAGGAGGAACGCCCCGGCUAACUACGUGCCAGCCGCCGC
rnacentral:rRNA from 1 species